UCCAUGGCGACGCAGUGUUUUUGUUAACACGCGCGUGAGUCAGAGCAGCAGUGAGUCACAGUCAGGAGGAAAUUCUCUCUGUUCUCGAUUCACACAGCCACACACUCUCACCGAAGCCAAAUAAGGACAACAGCUCGGAGAGAAAGACGGGAAAUCUGUCCUGUCAGUGGCCGGCUGCGAGUUUUGUCUAUACUGGAGUCGGACACUCCCUCUGAGACACAGCUGCUAUAAGGUUCCUCUCACGCUCUGAACGGAGGACAUACAGAGAGAGAAAGCCGUCCGAUCACCCAGGUAAGAGGCCAGUGUCACACUUCUGAACUUUGAAUAACAUCUGCAUGUGGUUUCUCCACUCUCCGCUGUUGCUGUCUAAGUUUCCAAGGCGUUUUGCACUAAAAAAAAAUAAAACACCCCUUGUUCAGCAAUUUGGAGGUUUGUGGUGUAGUUGGUGAUGGUUGGACGGACUUUUUGAGUGAUCCACUUGAGCGUCCAGAGGAAAGGUCAUCCGUAAAUAGUUUCUUUGAAUGGGCCGUCUGAGCGACUGUGCGACAUCUGUCAGCCAGACAUGAGCUCGGGGCGGCGUGAAGCGGAGGUCAUAAAAACGCUCUCAAAACAAGGAGUGCGAGGAUGAGGCUGUGGAGAAAAGCUCAAACAUUCUUCUCAUUGUUCUCAAGUCUCGAAAGACCGUGCCAGACGCUGCACAGCCAAAACAACAUCCAGAGGAAGGCGAAGGACAAAAAAAAAGUGUGGCAAAACCAGAAAGGCCAAGCCGGGAGUAUUAGACGAGGUGUGCAAGCUGGAGCGCUAGAUCACAAGAGAGCGAAAGCGGCCGGAGGAAGCCCAGUCUCUCAGACACUAGAAGAAGGAGGGGCCAGCUGCAGUGACCACGGACUACAUGACAAAAAAUGAGCUGCCAUCGUGGGCCAAACAAUUGGAAAAUACAGCAAGUGACCAUGGAAA
ensembl:lncRNA